UGGGGGUAAGCAGGACCCCCGGGAGCUUCAUCCCUCCAAGACGGUACCCGUCCAAGCCCUGU
rfam:Betaproteobacteria bacterium GR16-43, complete genome.